rnacentral:rRNA from 1 species
GCAGUGGGGAAUUUUGGACAAUGGGCGAAAGCCUGAUCCAGCAAUGCCGCGUGUGUGAAGAAGGCCUUCGGGUUGUAAAGCACUUUUGUCCGGAAAGAAAUCCUUGGCUCUAAUACAGUCGGGGGAUGACGGUACCGGAAGAAUAAGCACCGGCUAACUACGUGCCAGCAGCCGCGGUAAUACGUAGGGUGCGAGCGUUAAUCGGAAUUACUGGGCGUAAAGCGUGCGCAGGCGGUUUGCUAAGACCGAUGUGAAAUCCCCGGGCUCAACCUGGGAACUGCAUUGGUGACUGGCAGGCUAGAGUAUGGCAGAGGGGGGUAGAAUUCCACGUGUAGCAGUGAAAUGCGUAGAGAUGUGGAGGAAUACCGAUGGCGAAGGCAGCCCCCUGGGCCAAUACUGACGCUCAUGCACGAAAGCGUGGGGAGCAAACAGGAUUAGAUACCCUGGUAGUCCACGCCCUAAACGAUGUCAACUAGUUGUUGGGGAUUCAUUUCCUUAGUAACGUAGCUAACGCGUGAAGUUGACCGCCUGGGGAGUACGGUCGCAAGAUUAAAACUCAAAGGAAUUGACGGGGACCCGCACAAGCGGUGGAUGAUGUGGAUUGAUUCGAUGCAACGCGAAAAACCUUACCUACCCUUGACAUGGUCGGAAUCCCGCUGAGAGGUGGGAGUGCUCGAAAGAGAACCGGCGCACAGGUGCUGCAUGGCUGUCGUCAGCUCGUGUCGUGAGAUGUUGGGUUAAGUCCCGCAACGAGCGCAACCCUUGUCCUUAGUUGCUACGCAAGAGCACUCUAAGGAGACUGCCGGUGACAAACCGGAGGAAGGUGGGGAUGACGUCAAGUCCUCAUGGCCCUUAUGGGUAGGGCUUCACACGUCAUACAAUGGUCGGAACAGAGGGUUGCCAACCCGCGAGGGGGAGCUAAUCCCAGAAAACCGAUCGUAGUCCGGAUUGCACUCUGCAACUCGAGUGCAUGAAGCUGGAAUCGCUAGUAAUCGCGGAUCAGCUUGCCGCGGUGAAUACGUUCCCGGGCCUUGUACAC